GCCUCCGUGGAUGAGCGGUAAAUUGCCUCAGCUUAAAGAUGUUGUACUGAGGAGCCGUGGGUUUGAAUCCCACUGGAGACA